UACGGAAGGCAGCAGUGGGGAAUAUUGCACAAUGGGCGCAAGCCUGAUGCAGCCAUGCCGCGUGUAUGAAGAAGGCCUUCGGGUUGUAAAGUACUUUCAGUCGUGAGGAAGGUGUUAAGGUUAAUAACCUUAGCAAUUGACGUUAGCGACAGAAGAAGCACCGGCUAACUCCGUGCCAGCAGCCGCGGUAAUACGGAGGGUGCGAGCGUUAAUCGGAAUUACUGGGCGUAAAGGGCACGCAGGCGGUUAAUUAAGUUGGAUGUGAAAUCCCCGGGCUUAACCUGGGAAUGGCAUUCAAGACUGGUUAGCUAGAGUCUUGUAGAGGGGGUAGAAUUCCAUGUGUAGCGGUGAAAUGCGUAGAGAUGUGGAGGAAUACCGGUGGCGAAGGCGGCCCCCUGGACAAAGACCUGACGCUCAUGUGUGAAAGCGUGGGGAGCAAAC
rnacentral:rRNA from 1 species